UAUUCUCUCCAAAACAUCGUUCAGACCUGAAACCCUUCUCCCCCAUAACCAAGAUCUUCUACCUUCUCCACCGCCGGUUCACUUCCACAGCCGCACCUCCUUCGCACUCCGAACGACCGCCGGCUGCCACCUGCACCGGAAUCACUUCCCCUGUCGACCUUCUCCGUCAUCUCCGCCUUGAUACCUCAACCCUACUCCGCUGACCCGCUACUCGACGCGGUCGCUCACCUCCACUUCAUCAAUCGUCGACCACCGCCACUUCUCCUCCAUCUCACGCCGCCCUCUGGAACCACGAGUCACCAAGCCCCACUACCGACCAUCGUUUUCAACCGCCGGCUGCCACCUGAACCGGCAACCCACCACAGUCGAACGACCGCCGGUCUACGUCUUCAGCCGUCGGACUCGUCUCCGAUGUUCACCGACACCCCCUUCUACGACUCUGCCCGCAUAUAUGGUUUUGAAUACUCUCUGCAUUGUUAAAGAGAAAAGGGUAGCCCAACUGUCUCAAGAUCACCACUGUCCAAGCGUUCGCAUAAAACAUCUUCGACCCGAUCCUCUGCCGCCUUUGUAGAUGCCUUCCACAUAUUUUUCCGAGCCUCGAGGACGAUGCUAUAUCUUAAGCUUGGGGAGGUUGAGAUUUGAGGUAAUUUCUAUGUUCUCAUUUUAGCUUGCAUUACCUAGUUAGUUUGUAAAUAGCUGCAUUCUUCAUGUUCGUUGCAUUUAGGGUGUAUAUACAUGCAUAAAAAAAAUUCUUAAAAAAAAAUUAAAAAUAAAAAAAAACCGUUUCUGUUCCGCUGAAAAUGAUUUGUGAAAAAUGAGAGAUGAUAUAAAAUUUCUGGCAUGUCGAAGCUUAUGCGUGAAAUGGUAACUUUGGGGAAGAAAACAUAGAUAAUUCGGGAUGUGUUGAUAGGCUCGGCCCUAACUUAGGAACACCAAUGUUGGAUGCAAUAACCUUAAUUAUAUAUAUGUGUUUAGUUUCCCAUCUUGAUGCUUGUGGUCAAAGAUUGAUCCCGACCAAAAAUCGGUUAAGUUGCAUAUCCUCUAUCACACACCAUGUUCUCCAUAUCAUGACACCUCCGUAAUAAAGAGGUGAAAAAUUGACCUCAAAUUGGUGAAAAAUUGACCUCAUAGGUUAUUAUAGUUUAAAACAAAAAAAAAAAAAAAAAAACAAAAAGAAAAAAAAAGAGAAAAAAGAAGGGGUAAAAGAGCACAAUGUUUGCCAAAAAUUUGAAAAAAAAAAUCGAAAUCGAAAUAAAAAAAUAUUUGAGCAAAUUAGGGAGAAAAGUCCCGACCCCUUGAAAAACGGAAAAAAAAAGAUAAUAACUAUCGUGUCAUGGUCUGGAUGCAUGGUCGCAUCAAGUGUGAUUUUGGAUAUCUUCAAAAAGUCGUGAGGUUGGGUAGAUGUUGCCAUAGGUGUUGGGCGUGGGGACGAUUGAACCAUGUUGGUAAAUUUGUAUAUUAUUAAGCAGAAAGCAUUUGGUUGUGAUUAAGCGGGUUUGAGUUUAAAGGGAUACAAAAUAUCAACAAUCGCGGUUACACGUUUAAGUAUUUCCCGGGUUCGAAUGAAUGUAAUAGGAGUUGAUAUUGUUAGAUAUGAUCUCAUUACAAGUUUAUUUUCCGGAAUAAAAGAAGCGGGUUGAAAAAAAAAUAGUAAGCAUGCAUAUGUGUAUUGUUUUUCGUGUUUAUUUCUCGGAUUAUUCUUAUUCUUGACUUCCUUGAGGACAAGGAAAGGUUUAAGCUUGGGGAGAUUUGUUAGUUGCAUUUUUAGGCACGUUUUAUUGCAUAAUAAUAUUAAUAUUUCACCACAUAUCAUGCAUAUUUCAUAGUCAUACCUCCUUAUUUUGCGAAAUACGCGUUUUUGUGGAACGGAAUCUACUUUGGACAUUUUAAUGAUUUUGUAGAUGUGGAGCAAUCGCCAUAUAUCACAAUGGGCGUGGAAAAGCUUAAGAGGUAUUCAUAAUAAAACAAGAAGAGCAAAGCAGCCGUUGAUGCGAUCCAAUUUAUGUUCAAGCUCAGUCAAAAGGAACAAUGAGGUUAAAAGUUGGUAACUUAGUGGAAGGUGUAAGUUUAAAGCUCAAGAAAAUAAAGAUCUAAAUAGAAUCUACAAGGAGCUCGAAACCAGCAGCAUCCAACAAAAAUUGAAGUUAUGAAAGUGGGCUUUAGUUAAUGAAUUUUAGUUGGACUAAAAUUUGGAAAUGGAAAUUAAAGAAAUUGUUGGGCUGAUGAUGAGAAUGAGAAGCUGGCCUUAAUUAAAUUAGAGAUGAACCACAAUAAAGAAAAAUAAAGGCCCAUGAGAAGUAGGGAAUUGUUGGCUGGGAAUAAAAAAAAGGAUCACGAACAAUCUAAAAAAAACCCAUCUUUGACGGCUGCAAAUUCGAGUGGAGUUCGAAAGAAGCAACAAAUCAGAUUUUGGGAAGUGAUUUUGGUUUGUUAGUUUAUGCUUUGUUUUGUAUUUGACUUGAUUGUUUUAGCCACCAUGUCCGGCUAGACGUUUAUAGUUUCGACAUCGGGGCGUGUUUUCUUUGAUUUGGUUUAA